CCUACGGGUGGCAGCAGUGAGGAAUAUUGGUCAAUGGACGAAAGUCUGAACCAGCCAUGCCGCGUGCAGGAAGACGGCUCUAUGAGUUGUAAACUGCUUUUGUACAAGGGUAAACCUGAAUACGUGUAUUCAGCUGAAAGUACUGUACGAAUAAGGAUCGGCUAACUCCGUGCCAGCAGCCGCGGUAAUACGGAGGAUCCAAGCGUUAUCCGGAUUUAUUGGGUUUAAAGGGUGCGUAGGCGGAUUGAUAAGUUAGAGGUGAAAUGUCCGGGCUCAACUCGGGAACUGCCUCUAAUACUGGUGGUCUAGAGAGUAGAUGCGGUAGGCGGAAUGUAUGGUGUAGCGGUGAAAUGCUUAGAGAUCAUACAGAACACCGAUUGCGAAGGCAGCUUACCAAUCUAUAUCUGACGUUGAGGCACGAAAGCGUGGGGAGCAAACAGGAUUAGAUACCCCAGUAGUC
rnacentral:rRNA from 1 species